rnacentral:lncRNA from 1 species
CAUAAAAACUCAAAGUGACGAACCCUAACCAUCCCAGGAGGGCUCAUCUGAGAAAGAUGGAAGUUGUUGUGACAACCCGACUUCUGGAGGUCGUUAGGUCGUUAGUUGUAAUGGUGUAGUAUACUCCCCAUAAAGUUCGUCGCCGGUAACCUAAAGUUACCUUGAAGAAAGAAGUCUUCAUACAAGGUGAUGUAACCCGGCGGUGCAUCGGCCGCAGUCUGGCCCUGAGCCGGAUAC